GACGAACCGUGCGAACGUUAUUCGGAAUCACUGGGCUUAAAGCGCGUGUAGGCGGGAGGGAACGUCGGCCGCUGAAAUCCCCCGGCUUAACCGGGGAAGUGGCGCCGAUACGGCCCUCCUGGAGGGACGUAGGGGGAGCUGGAACUUCCGGUGGAGCGGUGAAAUGCGUUGAGAUCGGAAGGAACGCCCGCGGCGAAAGCGAGCUCCUGGACGUCUGCUGACGCUGAGACGCGAAAGCCAGGGGAGCGAACGG
rnacentral:rRNA from 1 species